rnacentral:rRNA from 1 species
UGAGAGGAUGAUCAGUCCACACUGGAACUGAGACACGGUCCAGACUCCUACGGGAGGCAGCAGUGGGGAAUAUUGGACAAUGGGCGCAAGCCUGAUCCAGCCAUACCGCGUGGGUGAAGAAGGCCUUCGGGUUGUAAAGCCCUUUUGUUGGGAAAGAAAUCCAGCCGGCUAAUACCUGGUUGGGAUGACGGUACCCAAAGAAUAAGCAC